ACACGUGGAUAACCUACCUAUAAGACUGGGAUAACUUCGGGAAACCGGAGCUAAUACCGGAUAAUAUAUUGAACCGCAUGGUUCAAUAGUGAAAGACGGUUUUGCUGUCACUUAUAGAUGGAUCCGCGCCGCAUUAGCUAGUUGGUAAGGUAACGGCUUACCAAGGCAACGAUGCGUAGCCGACCUGAGAGGGUGAUCGGCCACACUGGAACUGAGACACGGUCCAGACUCCUACGGGAGGCAGCAGUAGGGAAUCUUCCGUAAUGGGCGAAAGCCUGACGGAGCAACGCCGCGUGAGUGAUGAAGGUCUUCGGAUCGUAAAACUCUGUUAUUAGGGAAGAACAAAAGUGUAAGUAACUAUGCACGUCUUGACGGUACCUAAUCAGAAAGCCACGGCUAACUACGUGCCAGCAGCCGCGGUAAUACGUAGGUGGCAAGCGUUAUCCGGAAUUAUUGGGCGUAAAGCGCGCGUAGGCGGUUUUUUAAGUCUGAUGUGAAAGCCCACGGCUCAACCGUGGAGGGUCAUUGGAAACUGGAAAACUUGAGUGCAGAAGAGGAAAGUGGAAUUCCAUGUGUAGCGGUGAAAUGCGCAGAGAUAUGGAGGAACACCAGUGGCGAAGGCGACUUUCUGGUCUGUAACUGACGCUGAUGUGCGAAAGCGUGGGGAUCAAACAGGAUUAGAUACCCUGGUAGUCCACGCCGUAAACGAUGAGUGCUAAGUGUUAGGGGGUUUCCGCCCCUUAGUGCUGCAGCUAACGCAUUAAGCACUCCGCCUGGGGAGUACGACCGCAAGGUUGAAACUCAAAGGAAUUGACGG
rnacentral:rRNA from 1 species